UUUCAGAUUUGUUUAUGAGGCAUUCCUCUUUUGAAGAAUAAAACAGAGAACCAAAUGUGUUGGCUUGAAGACUGAGCUGAAAAGGGAGAGCCACAAAUAGUAAUUUGUCUUUGAGCAUUGUACAGAUACACAUGUAACCUGAUACUAAACAAAAAUUAAAAGCUCAUGGACUGUUAUUGGUAUGGUGGGGUAUGCCGGAGUGAAGUGAUUUGUGAACUCCCUGGAGAGAGACUUCUACUAGAGAAAUUUCACUGAUACCAGGAAUAAAAAACAAAACAAACACAACAAUAUGGAGCCGUAUUCUCCAGAAGCUUACAUCUGAUUUAAGGAGAUAGUUAGGUAGACAAUUUCAACUAAAUACAUUAAGUGCCAUGAGAGUAGUAUGACACUGAUAGGUGCUAUACAAAACAAGGGUUCUAGGUUAACUGCUUUGAGAAAAUUGCUACCUUUUAACAAAGGUUAAACUGGAUUCUUUAAUGUAGAUCUUACUGAGAGUUUCUAAUAUGUUACUGUGCUUUGUGAAUCUUCAUGUGUGUGGAGUAGAGAUCCAGUCUGCCAAGUUCUACAGACUCAUCUGAUGACAGAACCCUUUUUCAAUGGAAGAUCUCAAGCGAUUUGUGCUCCAUGGGACAUAACGUGAGAAGGACUGACACAAGAUUUUCACCUAGUGAACAAAAAGUGUAUGUAUUUAUCUUUUUAAAAACUGCUUGGAUGGGUACUUCCUCCUAAAUAUGUAAAUAACUUUUGAAGUUUUUUAGGUCUAUGACAGAGUAAAAUUGCAGACUUAAAAGGAUUUACCUUGAAGAUUUUAAUGACUGCUGUCCUGAUCCCAGUGAAAAGGAAUGCCUUUAGUCAUUUUCAUUUAUGGACUGUUUAACAAUUUUUCUCCAAAAGAAAUAUUUAAUUAACACAAUCUCGAGUUCCUCCCAGUGCUUUUAAUUAACAGACCACUGAAAGAUCUUUGUUAAAGGAAAGGCUAGCUUCAGGCCAGAAGGCAUUGCAGGAUCUAAUAUGUAUGCUACGAUGCGUGACCAAGCAUGAAGAGAAACUAAGGGUGUGAAUAAAUAAGGGCGAAUGUUUGCAUCCAUCGUUAUGAAAUUUCUGAUAAUCGCUCUCUACUCUCUCCUAAUAUUUUCCUUUAGGAAAAGAGUUUUGGAAGGAAUUGUUCUCUCUCCUCAUUAUCCUCCUUAACAUAUGAAAGUCUCAAGAUAACUGUUGAUUACCCACUCUCUACUUCGUAAAGAGGAAACACAGAUCCAGAGGAUCAUUUUGUGAUUCAUCCCUUUUCAAAGUGUUUCUUAAAACAUUAAACAAAAUUUUAUUAUAAGAUGUU